rnacentral:rRNA from 1 species
GAACGCGGGCGGCGUGCUAACNACAUGCAAGUCGAACGUGAUUAGAGAGCUUGCUCUCUAUGAAAGUGGCGCACGGGUGAGUAACGCGUAGAUAAUCUGCCUGAUGAUCGGGGAUAACACUUCGAAAGGGGUGCUAAUACCGGAUAAGCCCACGGUGUCUUUGGACGCUGCGGGAAAAGGGGGGGACCUUCGGGCCUUCUGUCAUCAGAUGAGUCUGCGUACCAUUAGCUAGUUGGUAGGGUAAAGGCCUACCAAGGCGACGAUGGUUAGCUGGUCUGAGAGGAUGAUCAGCCACACUGGAACUGAGACACGGUCCAGACUCCUACGGGAGGCAGCAGUGGGGAAUUUUGCGCAAUGGGGGAAACCCUGACGCAGCAACGCCGCGUGAGUGAUGAAGGCUCUUGGGUCGUAAAGCUCUGACAGAGGGAAAGAAAUGUAUUGUGGCUAAUAUCCACGAUACUUGACGGUACCCUCAAAGGAAGCACCGGCUAACUCCGUGCCAGCAGCCGCGGUAAUACGGGGGGUGCAAGCGUUGUUCGGAUUUAUUGGGCGUAAAGCGCGUGUAGGCGGUUUUUUAAGUCUGAUGUGAAAGCCCUGGGCUCAACCCGGGAAGUGCAUUGGAUACUGGAAGACUUGAAUACGGGAGAGGGCAGUGGAAUUCCUAGUGUAGGAGUGAAAUCCGUAGAUAUUAGGAGGAACACCGGUGGCGAAGGCGGCUGCCUGGACCGAUAUUGACGCUGAGACGCGAAAGCGUGGGUAGCAAACAGGAUUAGAUACCCUGGUAGUCCACGCCGUAAACGAUGAGAACUAGGUGUUGCGGGUAUUGACCCCUGCAGUGCCGUAGCUAACGCAUUAAGUUCUCCGCCUGGGAAGUACGGUCG